CAGGUAGAAACGAACCUUCCUUGACUUCAUAAAUUAUCAGAUGUCUGGAAUUCUGAAUUUUAUCCCUUCAAGUCCCUCCACCAGAACUUCCCAGCACGUCCAUUUUCUUCUACAGCGUGAGGGAAGGGUCAGGUUUAGCAACAUUGUCUUGGCAAACAGAUUAGCCCUCUCCAUUUAGGAAGGAGGAAGGAGGCUGCUCUCGCGGCCACAUUUCCUGGAAGACUGCCGAACACAAGUAUACGUUUCAAUGCGUUCCCAUCCCCAGAUUGGGUCAUCUGCCCUCCCGCCUCAGCUCCCCCUUGAUCAUGUAUCUUGGAGAUGACUUCACAUCAGCGUGUGUGGAUGCACGGCAUUCUUUUAGAUGGCUGCCUGGUGUUCUGUGUGUUAUACCAGCACCCCGUAAUUAUUCUAUCGGCCACGAUGGAAGGAUAUGGCAGUUGUUUCCAGCCUUUUGCUGUUACAGACAAUUCUGCAGUGAACAUCUGUGUCUAUGUCUUUGAGUACGUGUGCAACCAUGUCUAUAGAAUAAAUUCCUAGAAGUGGAA